rnacentral:rRNA from 1 species
UACGAAGGGGGCUAGCGUUGCUCGGAAUCACUGGGCGGAAAGGGUGCGUAGGCGGGUCUUUAAGUCAGGGGUGAAAUCCUGGAGCUCAACUCCAGAAAUGCCUUUGAUACUGAAGAUCUUGAGUUCGGGAGAGGUGAGUGGAACUGCGAGUGUAGAGGUGAAAUUCGUAGAUAUUCGCAAGAACACCAGUGGCGAAGGCGGCUCACUGGCCCGAUGCUGACGCUGAGGCACGAAAGCGUGGGGAGCAAACAGG